CUACGGGGUGCAGCAGUGAGGCCUAUUGCACAAUUUUUUGAACCCUGAUGCAUCAACUCCUCGUGGAGGAUGACGCAUUUCGGUGUGUAAACUCCUUUUAUAUGUCAAGAAGAUGACGGUAGCAUAUGAAUAAGCACCGGCUAACUCCGUGCCAGCAGCCGCGGUAAUACGGAGGGUGCAAGCGUUACUCGGAAUCACUGGGCGUAAAGGACGCGUAGGCGGGUUGGAAAGUCAGGUGUGAAAUCCUACAGCUUAACUGUAGAACUGCACUUGAAACUUCUAAUCUAGAGUAUGGGAGGGGGAGAUGGAAUUAGUGGUGUAGGGGUAAAAUCCGUAGAUAUCACUAGGAAUACCUAAAGCGAAGGCGAUCUCCUGGAACAUUACUGACGCUAAGGCGUGAAAGCGUGGGGAGCAAACAGGAUUAGAUACCCUAGUAGUC
rnacentral:rRNA from 1 species